CAGGCGGGACGACCCAUCUGCGCAUCUUGUUGUCUGGGGACGACCCCA
rnacentral:ncRNA from 1 species